GACCGUGCACGCGUUAUCAAGCCCGCCGAGCGGUCCGCCGCUUGGCCAAGUCCUCGACAACCUCCUCUCCUCGGAGCGGGGGCUCGGGGUAAAAAGAACCCACGGCGCCGAAGGCGUCAAGGAACACUGUGCCUAGCUUAGGGGAUGCGGCUGGCUUGCUGGCCGCACCCUUUGCUGCAAUGCUAUUUAAUCCACACGACUCUCGGCAACGGAUAUCUCGGCUCUCGCAUCGAUGAAGAACGUAGCGAAAUGCGAUACCUGGUGUGAAUUGCAGAAUCCCGCGAACCAUCGAGUCUUUGAACGCAAGUUGCGCCCGAGGCCAUCCGGCCAAGGGCACGCCUGCCUGGGCGUCACGCUAAACACGCUCCCACCCCCUCAUCGGGAGUGGGAUGCGGCAUGUGGCCUCCCGUCUCGCAAGGGGCGGUGGGCUGAAGAUAUGGCUGCUGGCGUAUCGUGCCGGACACAGCGCUAGGUGGGCGUUUUCGCUAAGCUUAACGCAGUGCAUCCGGUCGUAGCCGACACGAAAGCCUCCAAUGACCCUUUGAACGGUGCGAAUGACGCUCCGACCGCGACCC
rnacentral:misc_RNA from 1 species